rnacentral:rRNA from 1 species
CGCGUAGGUGGUUCGUUAAGUUGGAUGUGAAAGCCCCGGGCUCGACCUGGGAACUGCAUCCAAAACUGGCGAGCUAGAGUACGGUAGAGGGUGGUGGAAUUUCCUGUGUAGCGGUGAAAUGCGUAGAUAUAGGAAGGAACACCGAUGGCGAAGGCAGCCUCCUGGGCCAGUACUGACGCUCAUGCACGAAAGCGUGGGGAGCAAACA